rnacentral:rRNA from 2 species
UACGGAGGGUGCAAGCGUUAUCCGGAUUCACUGGGUUUAAAGGGUGCGUAGGCGGGUUGGUAAGUCCGUGGUGAAAUCCCCAAGCUUAACUUGGGAACUGCCGUGGAUACUAUCAAUCUUGAAUAUCGUGGAGGUAAGCGGAAUAUGUCAUGUAGCGGUGAAAUGCUUAGAUAUGACAUAGAACACCAAUUGCGUAGGCAGCUUACUACACGAUCAUUGACGCUGAGGCACGAAAGCGUGGGGAGCAAACAGG